GCAAAAUUGUAUUUCAUUAUGGUUUAUUAGCUGCUUCAGUGAAAAACAAAUCAACAAUGCAACAAAAAAACCCCAUUGCAAAACAACAUACUGGAAAACAGUUAUUCAUCACUUGAUUGCUUCAAUACAACACUUGGGCACAUAUAUGCGGACGUUUCAUGGCUGUUUUGAUAUCGCUCUCUCUCUUAACCGAUCAAAUCUUGAUGUGGUAGCAGCUUUAAACUCGGUAUGACCCAGGUUGAUAGAGGUGCCCAGUCUGGAUUGCAGUCCUGCAUUUUGUAGGCUGGUUUUCCUACAAAACACAACAAAUAUUAGCCUGCAAAGCCACAGUGAACAAAGCGGUAUAGCACAACGAAUUCAAUUCAGAUCAAUAUAAGACUUAUUUGUGUCAAGAGAUUUAUUCUAAAGACACUUCUUCAGCUAAGAGUCUAAGGGUAGAAACACACACAGACGCUGUGGUUUUCACUUGUAUACAAGGGCGGUCACAGAACGCUCACACCAGAGUGGGGGCCCUGUGAUGCGCGCUCUGUUCUUGCACUUGUCUUUAUUUAUAUGCAAAAAUAAUACAACAGUGAAUACGUCUAUUCAUAGGCAGAGGAAAGUUAGUGCGUAGGGAGUGAAGAUAAGAGCGGUUUAGGUGUAUGAAUGUGUGUUGUGGGAUACAGAAAGACGCGGCUUCUCUUCUUGUUAGGGAGCCGCAGAUAAGAGUGUCCAGCUCUCCUCUUCCUGGCAGGAGUGAAAUAAUAACAGCUUAUUCAGCUGUGAGAAAGAAUUUAUAAAACAGUCCUGUAGUGGACAACAGUCUAAGUCAUCAAAAGGUCAACAUACAGUAUUCUAUCAUAUGCAAACUUAUAUCAUUAAAAGCUUAUACUGACUACUAAGUACAAUUUUCCAUUGACAAUAUCCAUAAGUCUUAGGUACUUUUAAUGUUGUUAAUCAUAUUAUUUGUCCAUGUGAUAAUGUCCAAGCUAUACUGUUGGAGUCAAAUUGUUAAAUGCUGUCAUUGUUUUACUUAAAUUUGUAAGUCUUAGUUCAAACAUCAUGAUCAAAGACAUUCUUUUGUUUCUGACUCCCUCACCAGCCUGUCGAAUGGUGAGGGAGGCUGUAGUGUUUUAUUAUAGGGGACAAAUCCUCUGUGAAGGUUCUGUUUUCUUGUUUAGUAAGCUUCCUGCCUUUUUGACCCUUUUGUGGGCAGGAGGUCAC
ensembl:lncRNA